rnacentral:ncRNA from 1 species
CUGACAUGCGUGCGAGUCGACGGGUUCUGAAACCUGGGAUGCGCAAGGAAGCUGACGAGCGGGAGGCCCUCACGGGCCACACCGCUGGCCGACCCUGAUCUUCUGUGAAGGGUUCGAGUUGGAGCAUGCCUAUCGGGACCCGAAAGAUGGUGAACUAUGCCUGAGCGGGGCAAAGCCAGAGGAAACUCUGGUGGAGGCUCGAAGCGAUACUGAUGUGCAAAUUGUUCGUCUGACUUGGGUAUAGGGGCGAAACACUAAUCGAACCAUCUAGUAGCUGG